UGGCGUGGAGGGUGGGACGGGAGGCGAGGGAGCAGGCUAGGCGACCUGGGGGAAGCGCAGAGCCUGGAAGCAAAAGGGCCUGAAAGGUGCGGGGAGAAAAGCAAAAGCAAGCCGCCCCCCGGCAUCCUUUUGUGCAAGUGAUGCAGCCGCGAUUCCUCCGAAGCCAACGCGAGCUUCUGUCCGUCGCUCUGCAAAAACCUUGGAGGCCCCUUGGAUGGGGCGGGGGGAUUAAAGCCAGCUUGAGGCUGAUGUACUUGCAUAACUCUGGGGUGCCCUGAGGGGAGGGAGAGAGGCAGUGGAUCGGACUGGGAGCUUGGCAUGAAGGAAGAUUGGGCGUGGGGUGGGGAUAGCCCUUGUGGGGCAGGGGAGCUGCUAAGUACUUGAGCGCACAGCCUUGACUUGACGGUACUUUGAUAACCUGCUUCGUGUUCCCUAAAGAAAUGCAGCACUCUCUCUUCCACUUCGUGAAGCCAUUUAUCACCACGGCAUCCUUUUUAUACCUGGUGUGGCAGAGUGCAGCUAGCGACUUUUUAGGCUUGAGUCCCUUGCCCACAGAGCUUGCUUUAUUUUCAGACUUCAAUCCCCUUUGCGAUCACUCCUUGCAGUGGCAUUUCCACCUUGUGAAACGGGGAGCAACGGGGAGUGGCCUUACUGUGCAUUUGUGUUCCAACACUCUUUCUGGCUUUUUGUUUGGUCACCGUGGCAGCUUUGUUGCCACACAAUUUUAAGUCACCCACUUCUGGGUUGAUGCCUGACCUCUACCUCCUCCCUUGAGCACAGCAGCUGUGGUAUUGCUGGGCUUGAAGCUGAGGGCCCGCAGGGCCGGAUUAAGUUAGUAAAUUAUUUACUUGCAUAGUAAAGUAAUUCACUGAGUCAUGAACGAACGAAUGAAUGAAUAAAACAAAAACAAAUAUUCUUAUUCAAAUUGAUCCCCAGAGUAAAUCUUGCUCUGAUAUUAACAGCAGAUGGUUUUAACUUGGAUCAGCUUUUUAAAAAACUACUAUUUUAAUGUGCAAACAGUGGAUAAGACUAUUAGCGCCUUUCAGGGUACCAGGGGUGGGGUAGUGGGACAUGGGCAUCACCAUCUCAUCCAGCAUCGUAAGGAAAGCGAGCAUGACAAGAAAUUUCCAAGAAAUGGACAGGCUAUUUCCUUUGGGCUGCUCCAGGCCCCGGCUUUUCACUGUUUGGAGCACUACCUGGGCAGCAAGGUGAACUUUCCCUUCAACAGGAAUGAAGCUUUGAGGGCUGGGUGACCAGUGAGCACUAAGACUGCAACGGCUCUUUUCCUGCCUAGGGUGGAUUGCAGAAGCAGAGAGGAGGAGGAGAGAUCUCCAGACAUGAGAGGAAGUUAUAGGAAAAAGAGAAAAGCUUGCAAGCAUUUAGUGCGGGGCCCUCGAAAAUAUGGGGCCUGUAGCAAAUGCUACUUUUGCUGCUAGGUUAAUCCAGCUCUGGGCCCUCUGAGCUGACUAAGCCAGUCACCAGCUAGCUGUUUCCCCCUCCCCUUUGUGCAUGUACAGAAAGGGAAGGGACCAAGAAUAAAAAAGGAAAUGGGGAGAAAGUGAUGGGGUCUGGCUCUCUUUUCCUUUACGUGUGCGUAAGCAGUAAUGGGAAAAGCCUCUUGAAUUGCAUUUUUUAAAUUUCAGAACAAAGCAUGCCCUCUCACCACUUCUUGGUACUUAGUCCGAAUAAGGAUGGAUUGUGGGAAACAGGAUGCUGGGCUAGAUAGGCCUUGGGCCUGAUCCAGCAGGACUGUUCUUAUGUUUUGCCAGGGACAUGGGGUGGACAGCAGGCAGGCAAGAGAUUUUGGGCACCCAGCCAAUAUUUUGUGGCAUGUGGCUCUUGUGCCCCAGGAAUCAAGAAAAGACUGUUGGAAAGAGUGUCUGCACUGUGCAACCCUCAACCAGACGGGAGAUCUGUGACUUCCAAGAAAACCUCCCUGCAGUCUAGUUGCUCUUUUAAUGUUUGCCUCCUUCCCUUGACGGCAGGAUUGCAAGCCUUUGGUGCUUUUGCCACUGAAGUUGGGGGUGAUGAGUCAGAGUUAGUGUAAUAUCAGGUGCUGUUAGACUACAAUGUCCAUCAGCCCCAACCACAGUGACCAAUAGUCAGGGAUGAUGGGAGUUGUAGUCCCACAUCUGCAGGAGGGUCAAAGUUGUUCAGCCCGGAUAUAGGGGAAAGUCUCUGUCAGCAGUGGGAAUCAUUUCUCUUCCUUUGUAAAAUAUCUCCCUGAUUUGACCCUAUUAUACUUCACUCGCAGUGUUGGCUUUGCAGAAUUUAGUGGACCCAACAGUUGUUACAGUUCCUGUUGAAAGGAAGAGUUGUACAAGAGGAACUUCAGCCUUGUUGGAGAGACUCCCUUUGGAGCACAGAAGUGGAGACAGGCAUACAUGACCUGGCUGGUCCAGGUACCAUCAUGGCAGGAAGCAGAGAGGAAUUCUGGGAAGGCACUAUGCAGAAGACUCUGGAUCAGGAAAUGCUCAAUUCAGAAAUACAGCGCCAGCACUUUAGGCAGUUCUGCUACCAGGAGGCUAAGGGUCCUCGAGAGGUCUGCACCCACUUGCACAAACUUUGCCAUCAGUGGCUGAAGCCUGAAAAACUCACCAAAAACCAGAUCCUGGACCUGGUAAUCCUGGAGCAGUUCCUGACAUUCCUGCCUCUGGAGGUGGAGAGCUGGAUCAGAGAAUGUGGAGCGGAGACCAGUUCGCAGGCAGUGGCCCUGGCAGAAGGUUUCCUCCUGAGCCAGGCAGAGGACGAGAAGCAGAAAGAGCAGCAGCACCAGCCUUUCAAACAGUUCUGCCCCCAGGAGGCCGAGGGGCCCCGCGAGGUCUGCAACCGACUCCACAGUUUUUGCUAUCAGUGGCUCAAACCAGAGCAACACACAAAAAACGAGAUGCUGGACCUAGUGAUUCUGGAGCAGUUCCUGACCAUCCUGCCCCCAGACAUGGAGAGCUGGGUCAGGGAAUGUGGAGCAGAGACCUGUUCGCAGGCAGUGGCUUUGGCAGAAGGUUUCCUCCUGAGCCAGGCAGAGGACGAGAAGCAGGAAGAGCAGCAGGAUCCCCUUUCCUUUGAGGAAGUGACUGGGCAUUCCACCCAAAAGGAUUGGGCUCUACUGGAUGCAGACCAAAGAACCCUGCACAGAGAAGUCAAAGAGGAGACUUGUCAGAAUGUGGCCUCCCUGGGUGAUGGAUGGAAGAGAAAGAAUGAGGGAGUGUUGGCGGAAAGAGUGGGAUGUACAGAAGGUGAAGAGCAAAGAAAGGAAAUAGAAGUAAAGCAGGAGAGGAGAAAUGAAAUCUCUGCUCUUCGUGCUGGUGACUAUGAAGAAACCCCAAGCCAAGACAGAAUAGUCUUCAGAAAUGAAACAAGGAAGCAACUCUCAUGUGAAAAAAUAUUUGGGGAUAAAUCAAAAGUUAAACGUCAGUAUAAAACCAAGAAUGGAGAUAAGCCAUUUAAGUGCUUGGAGUGUGGAAAGGGCUUCACUCAGCGUUCAGCUCUUAAGACACAUCAAAGAAUUCACACAGGAGAGAAACCAUAUAAAUGUUUAGACUGUGGAAAGACUUUUAGUCAGAGAUCAAAUCUUAUACAACAUGAAAGAAUGCACACAGGAGAGAAGCCAUAUAAAUGCUUGGACUGUGGAAUGAGCUUUUUCCAGAGCUCAAAUCUUACUCGACAUCGAAGAGUUCAUACAGGGGAGAAACCUUUUAAAUGCUUAGAGUGUGGAAAGAAUUUCAACCAGAAGAAACACCUCAGUGUGCAUCAAAGAAUUCACACAGGAGAGAAACCCUAUAAAUGUUUGGAGUGCGGAAAGCAUUUCCGGGAGAGCGGACAGCUUAAUGUACAUCUAGUAAUUCACACAGGAGAGAAACCAUUUAAAUGCUUAGAAUGUGGAAAGAGCUUUAAUCAGCGCGCAAAUCUUAGCCAACAUCAAAGAAUUCACACAGGAGUGAAACCAUAUAAAUGUCUGGCGUGUGGAAAGACCUUCACUCAGAGCUCACAUCUUACAAAACAUGAAGCUUCACACAGCACCACAAUCUUGUCUGUGUUCUCCACCAUUUGUAUCAAGUGAGUGAUCACCAGCGCUACCCAGACCUGGGAACUCAUGACUGACCUCUGGAUCUACAAUCUUGGUAUAUUAUCUGGAGGAUAUGACUACACUGAUAUAACCGUGAAAGCUGGUUCUUGUCUGGGUGGUGCACGACGCCAAAUAACACACACACGGAAAAGCUUAUGGGAUGUUUACUGCUAGCAAGUAAGGCUUUUGGGGCACACCCAAAUCGAGAGCAAAGACCCCCAGUUACAGGGUUGGACUCUGACAGACAGUAGUGGUUGCACUCAGUCAGCGGACAGUUAGCCUCCCUUCUCAUUAUGAGAGAAAGGAAGGGCAUUUCCAGACGGGGAACUAUUCCAUUUGAAAAUGGAAGGCGUUUGUGCGUAUUGAAUCUCUGUCCAGAGCAACGUCUCCAGAGAGGCUGAUCCUAAAGACAACGCCUCCCUUCUUCGCAUCUUCUUCGAGUCCACUCCCACCAGGGGGAGAGAGCCGUGAAUCCUAGAGAGGAUAAAAUAGGAAACGGGGCAUGU